rnacentral:lncRNA from 1 species
UCAUGACUUCUCUUGACUGCUUAGAGUAAAAUGUGGGAAGAGAGAAGCAAAUUAAAUAUAGAAUUUAUACUCAAAAGGGAAGCAGAACUCAAAGAGUUGGAGAAUUCUCAGCCUGUAACACCUGAAAAAAUGUGUUCAGGAGACAGCAUCUACAAUGUGGCUAAGCGACUGUUUGAUCAGAUUAGUAGGGACAGAAAGAAGCCAGAUGCUUUCCAUCAGGACACUGGAAGAACGGCCCUAAAGGUAUUUUGGAGAUCUUCAGGGCUGCCACAUCCAUCACAGGCCCAGAGUGCCAGGGCCUUGAGGGUGGUAGAACUGUUUCAAGGGAGGGGCUCAGUGUGCCUGUGGGACCUUGGGCUUGCUGCCCAGAGCCACCUCCAAUUUUUGCUUCAUACUUCUGGUGCAGUGCUCUUUAGCCACCCCAGCUGAGGCUCAAGUGUGGCUCAAGAGGGCCCUGGUACAGCUUGGGCUGCCACUUCAGAGGGCACAGGCUGUCAACCUUGGUAGCGAACCUCAGAGGCCCAACCCCUGACUCGUUGUGUCCAGAAGGCAGGACAUGGAGUCAAAAAAUAUUCUUCUCAAGCUUCAAGAUGUAACACUGUUUGCCUUGCUGGGUUUUGGACUUACUUGGGAUCUGUUACUCCUUUCUUUUUUCCAGUUGCUCCCUUUUGGAAUGGGAACAUCUAUCCUAUGCCUGUCCCACCAUUGUAUUUUGGAAGCACGUAACUUGUUCAGUUUCACAGGCUCACAGGUAGAGGGCAGUUUGCCUCAGGAUGAAUCACACCUUUGAGUCUCACCCAUAUCUGAUUUAGAUGAUAUUUAGAUGAGACUUAGGACUUUAGACUUUUGAGUUGAUGCUGGAACGAGUUAAGAAUUUUGGGGCUAUUGGGAUGGAAUGGAUGUAUUUUGCAUGUGAGAAGAACAUGAAUUUUGAGGGGUCAGGGGUAGAAUGUUAAGGUUUGAAUGUCUGUGUUCCCCUAAAAUUUGUGUGUUGAAACUUAAGACCCAAUGUGAUAGGGUUAAGAGGUGGGGCCUUUAGAAGGUGGUAAGUCAUGAGAGCUCCACCCUCAUGAAUGGGAUUAGUGUCCUUUUAAAAGGACUUGAGGGAAGCAUCUGGGCCCCUUUUGCCUUUUGUCCUUCUGCUAUGUGAGGAUGAAGCAGCAAGCCACCCUCUUGCAAGCAGAGUUGAUCAGCUCUUACCAGACACCAGAUCUGACGCUAUGAUAUUGGACUUCCCAGCCUCCAGAGAUGUGAGGAAUACAUCUCUGUCCUUAUAAAUUACCCAGUCCCAAGUACUUUAUUGUUGCAGCAUGAAUGAACCAAGACAAGUCCACUUUCUAUCUCCAGCCCAGUCAUUGCUCCUGAGCUUCAGAACCACAUAUCCAACUACCUACAAGAUACCUUCUUGAGGAUGUGCCAGACAGUGGAAACAUUCAAAGCAGAACUUCUCAUCAUCUCCAUGCUUGCUGUCCCAUGUUCCUCUUCCCUGUGACUGGCACCAUUGCCCAACCAGUUAUGCAAGGGAGAAACGUCGACUCCUCCUUUUCCACUGCCCCCGCCAAAGACCCAACCAAUCUUCAAGUCCUGUACAUUCUAACCCCUAUGUAGGUCUUAAGUUCCCAGUUGCUUUUCACUUCCACUGUUCCUGCCCUGUCCAGGGCCCCCCAGAUUUUCUACUGGAUGGGCCUCUCCCUGGGUUAUCUGCCUCUAAGUGUGCCUUCUCCCACUAUUUUUCACAUGGUGACUUAGGAACAGUUUCAGUCUGACCUUGUCACUCUUCUCCAUUCAGGCCUUGAGUGGUGUCCUAUUGCUUCUGUUUGGACAAAAUCCACAUCUUAGCCUGGCUCCUCUUCUGUCUCUAGGUAUUUAUCCUCCAGGAUAAUCAAAUAGCUACUCCACUAGCCUGGCUCAGCACCAGAGCUAGGCAGAAAAUUCAAAUGAUUGUAGCACAGUUUACCAAGUUUCUGUUAUUGAGCUAAAAUAAAAAGGGUCAGCUUGUCCAGUUGGAUUCAUAAGAA